rnacentral:rRNA from 1 species
GGAUCCAGACUUUGAUUAUGGCUCAGGACGAACGCUGGCGGCGCGCCUAACACAUGCAAGUCGAACGGAGCUUAGAGAGCUUGCUUUUUAAGCUUAGUGGCGAACGGGUGAGUAACGCGUGAGUAACCUGCCCUAGAGUGGGGGACAACAGUUGGAAACGACUGCUAAUACCGCAUAAGCCCACGGUACCGCAUGGUACUGAGGGAAAAGGAUUUAUUCGCUUUAGGAUGGACUCGCGUCCAAUUAGCUAGUUGGUGAGGUAACGGCCCACCAAGGCGACGAUUGGUAGCCGGACUGAGAGGUUGAACGGCCACAUUGGGACUGAGACACGGCCCAGACUCCUACGGGAGGCAGCAGUGGGGGAUAUUGCACAAUGGGGGAAACCCUGAUGCAGCGACGCCGCGUGGAGGAAGAAGGUUUUCGGAUUGUAAACUCCUGUCGUUAGGGACGAUAAUGACGGUACCUAACAAGAAAGCACCGGCUAACUACGUGCCAGCAGCCGCGGUAAACGUAGGGUGCAAGCGUUGUCCGGAAUUACUGGGUGUAAAGGGAGCGCAGGCGGGAAGACAAGUUGGAAGUGAAAACCAUGGGCUCAACCCAUGAAUUGCUUUCAAAACUGUUUUUCUUGAGUAGUGCAGAGGUAGAUGGAAUUCCCGGUGUAGCGGUGGAAUGCGUAGAUAUCGGGGGGAACACCAGUGGCGAAGGCGGUCUACUGGGCACCAACUGACGCUGAGGCUCGAAAGCAUGGGUAGCAAACAGGAUUAGAUACCCUGGUAGUCCAUGCCGUAAACGAUGAUUACUAGGUGUUGGGGGAUUGACCCCCUCAGUGCCGCAGUUAACACAAUAAGUAAUCCACCUGGGGAGUACGACCGCAAGGUUGCAACUCAAAGGAAUUGACGG